GCAAUAUGGUAACAUGGAGCGAAUCUCAAAAAGAUAGUCUCAGUUCGGACUGUGGGCUGCAACCCGCCCACACGAAGUCGGAGUUGCUAGUAAUCCCGAAUCAGCAUGUCGGGGUGAAUGCGUUCCCGGGUCUUGUACACACCGCCCGUCACGCCAUGGGAGUCGGAAGUGCCCAAAGUCGGUGACCUAACCGCAAGGAAGGAGCCGCCUAAGGUAAUGCCGAUGACUGGGGUGAAGUCGUAACAAGGUACC
rnacentral:rRNA from 1 species